CCGGCGACGUCGCGAGAAGUCCACUGAACCUUAUCAUAUUAAGAGGAAGGAGAAGUCGUAACAAGGUUUCCGUAGGUGAACCUGCGGAAGGAUCAUUG
rnacentral:rRNA from 1 species